CCCUUAGAUGUUCUGGGCCGCACGCGCGCUACACUGACGGAGGCAGCGAGCAUGUCCUUCGCCGAGAGGUGUGGGGAAUCUUGUGAGUCUCCGUCGUGCUGGGGAUAGAUGGUUGCAAUUGUCGAUCUUGAACGAGGAAUUCCUAGUAGGCGCGAGUCAUCAGCUUGCAUUGAUUACGUCCCUGCCCUUUGUACACACCGCCCGUCGCUCCUACCGAUUGAAUGAUCCGAUGAAUAUCAUGGAUUGAGGAUGCAAGCAGGUUCGCCUGUCUUCAUCUUCGAGAAGUGAAGUAAAUCUUAUCAUUUAGAGGAAGGAGAAGUCGUAACA
rnacentral:rRNA from 1 species